rnacentral:rRNA from 1 species
AUUGAACGCUGGCGGCAGGCUUAACACAUGCAAGUCGAACGAGUGGCGGACGGGUGAGUAAUGUUUGGGAAUCUAGCUUAUGGAGGGGGAUAACUACGGGAAACUGUAGCUAAUACCGCGUACCAUAGGAUGAGCCCAAGUGGGAUUAGGUAGUUGGUGGGGUAAAGGCUCACCAAGCCGACGAUCUCUAGCUGGUCUGAGAGGAUGACCAGCCACACUGGAACUGAGACACGGCCCAGACUCCUACGGGAGGCAGCAGUAGGGAAGAUUGGGCAAGGGGCGAAAGUUGACCGAGCAACGCCGCGUGAGUGAAGAAGGUUUUCGGGUCGUAAAACUCUUUUAUUAGGGAAGCGUUAUCUAACCAAAAAGCAACGGCUAACUACGUGCCAGCAGCCGCGGUAAUAC